rnacentral:rRNA from 1 species
AACGAACGCUGGCGGCAUGCCUAACACAUGCAAGUCGAACGAAGGCAUCGGCCGUAGUGGCUCACGGGUGCGGAACGCGGGGGAAUCUGCCCUUUGCUUCGGAAUAACAGUUAGAAGUGGCGGCUAAUACAGGAUGAUGUCGCAUGACCAAAGAUUUAUCGGGCGAGUAUGAGCACGCGUAGGAUUAGCUAGUUGGGGGGGUAAAAGCCUAUGAAGGCGUCGAUACUUAGCCGGGCUGAGAGACAGAUAGGCCACACUGGGACUGAGCCACGGCCCAGAAUCCUACGGGAGGCAGCAGUGGGGAAUAUUGGACAAUGGGCGAAAGCCUGAAGCAGCAAUGCCGCGUGAGUGCUGAAGGUGUUAGGGUUGUACAGCUCUUUUACCCGGGAUGAUAAUGACGGUACCGGAAGAAUAAGCACCGGCUAACUCCGUG